rnacentral:rRNA from 1 species
AGAGUUUGAUUCUGGCUCAGGACGAAUGCUGGCGGCAUGCCUAACACAUGCAAGUCGAACGAAGCACAUUGGGUUACUCGAUGUGACUUAGUGGCGAACGGGUGAGUAAUGUAUGAGCAAUCUGCCCUAAACAACGGGACAACACUUGGAAACGGGUGCUAAUACCGUAUAAGACCACACUGCCGCAUGACAGAGUGGUAAAAGCUACGGCGGUUUAGGAUGAGCUCAUAUCCCAUUAGCUAGUUGGUGAGAUAACAGCCCACCAAGGCUACGAUGGGUAGCCGACUUGAGAGAGUGAUCGGCCACAUUGGAACUGAAACACGGUCCAGACUCCUACGGGAGGCAGCAGUGGGGAAUAUUGGGCAAUGGGCGAAAGCCUGACCCAGCAAUGCCGCGUGAGCGAUGAAGGUAUUUUUAUUGUAAAGCUCUUUUCUUGGGGACGAAGUUCUGACUGUACCCAAGGAAUAAGCCCCGGCUAACUACGUGCCAGCCGCCGC